rnacentral:ncRNA from 12 species
GGCCUCGUGGCUAAGUUGGUUAAAGCGCCUGUCUAGUAAACAGGAGAUCACGAGUUCGAAUCUCGUCGAGGCCU